UUUAAAACCUGUGACUGACUUUUUCAAAAGUCAACCACAAAGCUAAUUUUUGCUCUGUGCAGUUUUGCCUGAAGAGGUGCACUCUCUAUGGAGACAGGCCGCGACCAUCACACCGGUCUCUGGCUCGGACCUGCAGGUUGGGGAGAGGGGACCAGAGUCCACAGACUCUGAGAAGGAAAGAGAGCGAGAGAUGGUUGAGGCGGCAGAGGCAGCUCAAAGAGAGGAGGAGAGACUUGAAGUCAGCCCAAAGGAGGUUCCCAGAGAUUUUACCGAGUCUGAAUUGUUUGAUAUUUCAGGCAUGGGUACCCUGCCGCUGGAGGGCUCAGACCAAAGGGAGGUGUCCCGAGACCUUUCACCCAUGUUGACAUCUGAGAAAGAAGGGUAGGUUACAAAGAAAGAUGCAGAGUCUACAGUAUUUGUGUGUACAAACAUGUUUACAUGUACGUGUGUGUGUGUGUGUGUGUGUGUGUGUGUUUGCAGGUCCAUUGUUUCUCGGUCUGUCUCUACCCUGCAGGACAUCCCAGAGGUGUUGGAUGAGUUGUUGGGGAGUAUAGCAGCAGAG
rnacentral:lncRNA from 1 species